AGUUCAUCUGAUAACGUGGCUACGAAGUGGUUAACUGGUACCCACCAGUUAACCUAUACAGUGUGGACACCCUGGCCUACACGGCGGUGGGAUGAUUCACAGCCCAUUAUUCUGGAGUGGAACAGUAUAACAUCUCUUCACGUUGGGGAUGACAUGCAAUUUAAAGCUUGAGAUUUAUUUCUGGAAGCUUCCAUUUCUAUUUUCAGACAGAGGUUAACCACAUGUAACAGAAACUUCAGAAAGUAAAGCUUUGGGUAAGGGGCGGGAGAGCACUUCAUUAUGCUACCACAAGCAGAAAUAGAUCCCUGUGAGUUGACAUCUUUUUAUUUCUGAAACCCUGGCAUUCUUUUAACCUGGUAGAUGCCUCUUGGCCAAAAUGGUGUAUGAGUCCCAUGGGGACAGGUGGGGAGUCGGGUGUUGGCGUGAGCCAGCCAUCCUCGUGUGAAGGCUUAAAUUAGAUGUUGACUCAGGUAAAGACAUACACACAUGCACUCACGCAUGCAUGUGCACAGAGACAAAGACAGAGACAGAGUCAGAGACAGACAGAGCUAUGCAAACACACAUAGAGACAAACACACAGAUACACACAAAGCUGCAUCCAUAGACACAUAAACACAUACCCAGAGACAUAAAAAAGACAUACGGGGGUUGGGGAUUUAGCUCAGUGGUAGAGCGCUUACCUAGGAAGCGCAAGGCCCUGGGUUCGGUCCCCAGCUCCGAAAAAAAAAAAAAAAAAAAAGAACCAAAAAAAAAAAAGACAUACAGAGACACACAGGAUGUGCACUAAUAUGCAUCCAGAUCUCCACAGACACAGAAACACACACAUGCACUCGUGCAAUGCACACAAGUGAGCGCAUGCACACACACACACACACACACACACACACACACACACACACACACUGAUCCCUUCCCUCUUUGGCUGGUUUCAUGUUCUUACUCCACACAUCUCACUUCUGUUGUAGAAUGAUAUCUCCGUCUGUACCUGAUCAGACCUCGGGGACUUCAGGAUCCUAGGAGAAAGGGAACAUGUGUCUCCUCACUGACCCUUCCAAGUUUAGUGCUUCUCAUACAGGUGUUCUGUCCCCAUCAAAGCUAAGGGCUCUGCAGACAACCUUAGGAGCCUCUGGGGGUCUGUAGGCUGCAAGGCCUGAUGUAUUUUUUCCUGCAGGGGUGAUGGACAGUGGGCUAAAGCUGCCAGGUUGUAACAUGUGUUUAUAAUGUCCCCCAAACCUGAAUAGAUCUAGCUCUUUCCUUGUUCAGGGUGGCCUCUCCCUGUACUUUCAAGUCCCAAGGACCUCAGGCUUAUAUGCCCAUGACAUCAGCACCUGCUAUUGCUGGGGACCUAGACACAUGAAGCUGAGUCCUUGAGGAGGCUGCAUUUAAAUGUCCGUGUUUGGAAAUGAAUGGCCAAAUAGAGGCAUAGCUGUAAUUUUGGCUUGGCAUCUCCUUGAAGUCCUGGUGAGGUUACUUACCAUUUGGGCUUAUGGCUUUGGCUGCAGGGCCAGUUUAAGUGCAUGGAGAGAACACUCUUAGAGCACUGCCAGCUAGCAGAGGCCAGCCUAGAAGCUGCUCCUUGAGGCAGAGAGCCUGAGCGAGGGGUCAGGAGUAGGAGGUUAGCUUUACUCUGCCCCAAGUGCCUGUGGAAUAUAAUAGACUCCUAGACCCUCUCUGGUGUCAGAUCUUUCUUAUAUUGGAUGAGGGGGCUUCACCAUAUCCCGGGUUCUAAGUCAGCCUCACCCAGAGGGCCAGCACUGUUUAUGACAUUGGCUUGUUCUGGGUUUAGAGCAGUGACAGUUUAAGGUGCGCCUGAGACAUCUUGUGCUAGAAGGUGAUUCAAAAUGUCCUGGGGCAAGUGGGAUAUUAGAAGGUAAGCAUACCGGUGACUGAGGACAAAACCUCACGUGGAUGAAUCACAGGGCCCAUUGUGAGACAGGCAAAGGAAGAGAGUGGUGAGGAGAAUCCAUUUAUCACCAUUGGAGGGCAGCUUUGGAGGAGUGUCUGUCCAUCCUGCUGGGGUAAUUUUGUUCAUAGAAAAAUGGCAGCAAGGCAGAAAGCAGGAGAGAAGCAGAUUCAUUGAAGAACCAGGACAAUGUGCAGGGCCGAGUCCUCCCCACCACAGGGCUCGGCUGCUUGGGGAGGCAGGGUGUGGAAGUUGACCACGCUUACCCCAGGCUGUCACCAGGCAGGUGUGAUGUCAUAGGGCAGCCCCAGGACACUGCUCCGGGGGUGGGGAAGCACAGUCUGAGGAGAGGGACACAGCUGGAGCUGGCUCAGGGGUCCCCAGGCUUGCAAGGAGGCUGGGGCCAUCUGGUUCUCAGGCUCUUGGGUAUCCAGGCACCACUGGAUGCUGCAGAACUGAGAAGGAAGUAGGGGCCGAGAGCUGGAUCUAGCCCAGGGCCGAGAGGGAACAAGAAGGGCUCCUGCUGGUCCUGCCAGGAGAGUUUUUGGCUUGACAGCAGUAGACUUGAGCUUGGCUUGUUGGCAGCCACCGCUGGGAAGGCAGAAAGGCCUUCUACAGUAGAUUAAACCAUGGCUCUGUAGGUGAAGGCCUUCUCCACGGCUCCCCAUGGCAGGUCCUGAUGAAAAAAGGCAGUCAUGGUUUUAACACAUUUAUUGUCAUGGCAGAAAGUAGGCCUGCUCUACAAGAAGGACUUUUAUGCUUGCUACUUAAUCCCGGUCAAAAGCACAUGGCUGGUGAGGUCCUAGGUCCUAGGGCAGAACCUAAUAUUGUUAUUUUGAUAAAAUGUUGUCAGAUUCCUUAAGUAUUUAUAUUCAUACACAUA